GGGGUAUAGGUUUUACAGGCAUUCUGUGACUGAGAUUGUCAUAAACAGGAGGAGUGCUGACCAGCAUCCAGUGACUAAGGGGUUGAACUCAGGUAGCUAGCAAAAGUGUUGGUCAGGUGGCCAGGAGAACCAAUUGAGAUAGAGGGAUGAAAUUUGAAUUGGAUAUAGAUUCCUUACCUGCUUUCUUUGUGUGGGAGAGAAAAAACAGCAGUUGAGAGACACCGAAUGAUUUAAACCCAGGCAGGACUACCAUGUCUCAAAGGAAUUUGGGACAUGGGAGUGGACUGAACAAAGAGAAAAUUGGAAACCCUGUUGUGUAAAAGGAUGUUGCGCACCUGCUGUGAACACUGCAGUUCUAUGCUCGUGAACCAUCGAAGUACCACGCCUUGAGGUGGAGAGUCGGGAACUGAGGGAGUCUGGAUUCCCAGUGAACGUAGUAUCUCCCUGGAGUCUUUCACUGAGUGUAGGACUACAUUAUUUUUUGCCGAGAAAAGCUUCUCGCUCUUGAACAACAGAUCUUCCAUUGAUGGUUGGAACUAGUGGGGAAAAGCAAACGAGCUGAACCAUGAGGCUCUUCGCAUGAUCACUGCCGUGGCUGUUGUUCUUGUAGCCGUAUCUGCCACGUGAAGGGCAGCUUGUAAAGCUAUAUGCAAUACUGUUUGGCGUUCAAAGACGAUCGCUCUGAAAUGUACCUUUUUGUUGUCAGGAAUAGCCUCAAAAAAGGUAUUUAUCUUUGCAUAAUUGUUGAAGUAUUUGCUGAGUAACUUGGCGUAGUUUGCUACUCUCAUUUGGAGCGUAGCUGAGGUGUAUACCUUUUUGCUUAAUGAAUCAAGUAUUUUAUUGUUCUUCUCAGAUGGAGUAGAGUGGUUCUGUUGUUUAUUUCUCUGCUAGGCAGCGUCCACUAUGAGGGAGUUGGGCAGUGGAUGUGUGAAAAGGAAUUCAGAGCUUUUGGGAGGGACACAGUAUUUUCGGUCUGCCUUUUUACAGGAAUUGAAACAGGUUUUUCCACAAGGUUUUUGUCAGUUCGAGUAUGGCUGGAUUGAUUGGUAAUGAAAUUUUUGCAGAUGGAGUCGCCUGGAGGAUGUUUAUGAGUUAAUGAUGGGAGUCCUGCACCUCCUCCAUGGGAAUAUUUAAGUCAGUUGCAACUCUUUUGAAAAGGUCUUGGAAGGAUGAAACGUCCUCUGUGUUAUUAGAAGACGGUGGUAUGAUCGCCUCAUCUGUGCCAGACAUUGAGUUCAUAUGGAGUAAAAUUGCAGAAGUUGAAUUUGGGGAGUUUUGCCCUUCAGUAUCAUUUCUCCCCAUAUUAAUUUGGGGUGACUGGGUCAGGGGAGAGCACAGUCUUACUAUGUGUUUGGUUUUAAGUGGUCUCUUUCUGUGUUGCUGAGGUCAUUGGUUCCAGUUGCCAAUUUGAGAGGUAAGGCAUUGGCAGUGGUAUCCAGGGAUAUGGAGCUCAGUGAGCCAUUCGUGCUCUGAUAAGAUCUGGCUGAGCCCGUUUAAAUGAUAUUCCUGACCCCUCUGUGUGUGGGGAUAACUGAGGUCAAAAAACAGCUAAGUCAUCUUCCCCUUCCAUUGAUCGGGGGAGGGUGAUUCUGAAUAAUCAGAGAAUGGAGAGUGAGGGUGUUUAUCUUCACUCAAAAUUGGUGAAUGGAGUGUAGAAGAUAUUGUCAGAUCUUUGUGCACCAUGUAAGUCAUGAUGGGAGUGUGUGGCGUGGAAGCUGUGCUGCUGCUGAGAGUAAUUCCUGAGCUGC